AGAGAAAAUUGGUGGAUUUCAAGUAAUCAAGCCAUCAAAGGUGGUGAGCAUUCUAGCAAAAGUAAAGAGAUAGUACCCAAGGAUCAAGAAUCAGAGUACUCGAAAUUAGACUCCCGAAAUAGCUCAAGAUAGUCGGUAGAUAGCUCACUUUGUUGAGGG
rnacentral:sRNA from 1 species